UACGAAGGGGGCUAGCGUUGCUCGGAAUCACUGGGCGUAAAGCGCACGUAGGCGGCUUUUUAAGUCAGGGGUGAAAUCCUGGAGCUCAACUCCAGAACUGCCUUUGAUACUGAGAAGCUUGAGUCCGGGAGAGGUGAGUGGAACUGCGAGUGUAGAGGUGAAAUUCGUAGAUAUUCGCAAGAACACCAGUGGCGAAGGCGGCUCACUGGCCCGGUACUGACGCUGAGGUGCGGAAAGCGUGGG
rnacentral:rRNA from 1 species